AGUGAACGCUGGCGGUAGGCCUAACACAUGCAGGUCGAACGGCAGCACAGUAAGAGCUUGCUCUUACGGGUGGCGAGUGGCGGACGGGUGAGGAAUACAUCGGAAUCUACUUUUUCGUGGGGGAUAACGUAGGGGAACUUACGCUAAUACCGCAUACGACCUACGGGUGAAAGCAGGGGAUCUUCGGACCUUGCGCGAUUGAAUGAGCCGAUGUCGGAUUAGCUAGUUGGCGGGGUAAAGGCCCACCAAGGCGACGAUCCGUAGCUGGUCUGAGAGGAUGAUCAGCCACACUGGAACUGAGACACGGUCCAGACUCCUACGGGAGGCAGCAGUGGGGAAUAUUGGACAAUGGGCGCAAGCCUGAUCCAGCCAUACCGCGUGGGUGAAGAAGGCCUUCGGGUUGUAAAGCCCUUUUGUUGGGAAAGAAAAGCAGCAGGUUAAUACCCCGCUGUUCUGACGGUACCCAAAGAAUAAGCACCGGCUAACUUCGUG
rnacentral:rRNA from 1 species